AUUGAACGCUGGCGGCAGGCCUAACACAUGCAAGUCGAGCGAGUGGCGGGCGGGUGAAAUAUAGCUGAAAAACCGCCUGAUGGAGGGGGAAAGAUAGUGGAAACGGGAUCUAAUACCACCAAAACCGGGAUGCCCCCAGAUGGGAUUAGCUAGUAGGUGGGGUAAAGGCUCACCUCGGCGACGAUCCCUAGCUGGUCUGAGAGGAUGACCAGCCACACUGGAACUGAGACACGGUCCAGACUCCUACGGGAGGCAGCAGUGGGGAAUAUUGCACAAUGGGCGCAAGCCUGAUGCAGCCAUGCCGCGUGUAUGAAGAAGGCCUUCGGGUUGUAAAGUACUUUCAGCGGGGAGGCGUUACCCGCAGAAGAAGCACCGGCUAACUCCGUGCCAGCAGCCGCGGUAAUUC
rnacentral:rRNA from 1 species